UGAAUCGAAUCUGAGAAUAGCCAUCAUGUGUUGUUGCAUAUGGAGAAAACACAGGCUUGGUGGCAGGCCAGAUUGGAGGAUUGGCAGACAGUGACUGGAGCUCAGCAGAGGACAGGUGGAGGUUGCAUUGCCUGAAAUCUCGAGAUUGAAUACACUGGUGGACCGCUUGAAUGCAUUGAGCCUGAGUCAAUUGAGCAACAGACAUUGUCUUUGAUUUGUUGCAUCUUGAGACUAGCCAUUGUUUCUGCAGUUCAUCAGCAUAUAUAUCAGAGAUUCUAGGUGGGAGGCACCUACCUGAGAUCUUAUGCCCUUGAUUGUUGACUACUAUUUGGCAAGUGUGAUAUAUAAAGGCAGGUACUAGGUCACAGGUUCGAUCCACGGCAAGUGCACUUACGCGCCUUUUUGCGCCUUGAAUUUAGGCGUGGCCGUGUGGGCUCGGCGCCUAGGUCUCGGCGUUAGGGCCUAAAGCAGUCCCUGGAGGACGCCUGUGACAAGCCUAAGAUCGUUGCUUAGGUAGAGGCCGCCUAUCACACCUAUGUCCUAGCAUGACAUCUUCAAACCGUUCCGUAGGUGAACCUGCGGAAGGAUCAUUAAUGAGUUAGGGUCUUCUAGGCCCGACCUCCCAACCCUUUGUUUACUAGACCUCAGUUGCUUCGGCAGGCCCGUCUUAAUCUGACCGCCGGAGGACCGCCUAAUACGGGUGUUGCCUCUGGCCAGUGUCUGCCGAUAGCCUCAUCUCCUAACUCUGGAUCAAUCAUGAUUUACAAUGUCUAAGUGAUUUUAUUUAAUUAAAAGCAAAAACUUUCAACAACGGAUCUCUUGGUUCUGGCAUCGAUGAAGAACGCAGCGAAAUGCGAUAAGUAAUGCGAAUUGCAGAAUUCCAGUGAGUCAUCGAAUCUUUGAACGCACAUUGCGCCCUUUGGUAUUCCGAAGGGCAUGCCUGUUCGAGCGUCAUUAUCACCCCCUCAAGCCCCUGCGCUUGGUGUUGGACGGCUUGGUGGAGCGAGUUCACACUUUCCACCCCUCCUAAAGACAAUGACGGCGGCCUGCGGAACCCCCGGUACACUGAGCUUCUUAACUGAGCACGUAUCGGAUGAAGGGUGCCCGGGACCCGGUCUUCUCCCUCACGGGAACACU
rnacentral:misc_RNA from 1 species